rnacentral:tRNA from 1 species
UCUCUGGUGGUCCAGUGGCUGACUCUGAGCUCCCAAUGCAGAGGGCACAGGAUCGAUUCCUGGUCAGAGAA